UUGAAUCUCCUCAAGGCAUUCUUCAGUCAACUGAAACCCUAGCCAGUCAACUGCCAAGUCAACUGUGGAUUUUGGAGGUGGGAAAUGAUUAGAAAUACUUCAUUCAUGAUCAAACAAGUCUCAUUUGACAUUUCAAAUAUCAACAUUGAAGAAAAUAAAGUCAGGUCAAAACUUUCCAAAAAUAGAAAGUGACUUAUAAUUCAAAAUUGCCAAAAAAUGGAAAGGUUUUC
rnacentral:lncRNA from 1 species